GCCAGCGUGGUGUAGUGGUUUGAGCAUUCGACUAGGACUAUGGAGACCAGGCUUCGACUCCCUGCUCGGCCA